rnacentral:rRNA from 1 species
AAAAACAUAACCUUUAGCAUAAACAAAUAUUAAAGGCAACGCCUGCCCAGUGAACAAUUAAACGGCCGCGGUAUCCUAACCGUGCAAAGGUAGCGUAAUCAUUUGUCUACUAAUUAUAGACCUGUAUGAAAGGCAAAAUGAGGGUUUAACUGUCUCUUAUAAUAAAUCUAUUAAACUGAUCUUUUAGUAAAAAAGCUAAAAUACUCCUAUAAGACCAGAAGACCCUGUGAAGCUUUAACUAAACCAUUAAACCAAAUAAUGUCUACUUUCGGUUGGGGCAACCUUGGAAACAAAAAUAACUUCCAAACAAAAUAUAACCUACCAUUAAGGCCCACAAGCCAAUUAACGACCCAGUAAUACUGAUAAUUGAAAAAAGUUACUCCAGGGAUAACAGCGCUAUCUUCUUCAAGAGCCCAUAUCAAAAAGAAGGUUUACGACCUCGAUGUUGGAUCAGGACAUCCUAGUGGUGCAACCGCUACUAAGGGUUCGUUUGUUCAACGAUUAAUGUCCUACGUGAUCUGAGUU